rnacentral:rRNA from 1 species
UGGGGAAUAUUGGACAAUGGGCGAAAGCCUGAUCCAGCCAUGCCGCGUGUGUGAAGAAGGUCUUCGGAUUGUAAAGCACUUUAAGUUGGGAGGAAGGGCAUUAACCUAAUACGUUAGUGUCUUGACGUUACCGACAGAAUAAGCACCGGCUAACUCUGUGCCAGCAGCCGCGGUAAUACAGAGGGUGCAAGCGUUAAUCGGAAUUACUGGGCGUAAAGCGCGCGUAGGUGGUUUGUUAAGUUGAAUGUGAAAUCCCCGGGCUCAACCUGGGAACUGCAUCCAAAACUGGCAAGCUAGAGUAUGGUAGAGGGUAGUGGAAUUUCCUGUGUAGCGGUGAAAUGCGUAGAUAUAGGAAGGAACACCAGUGGCGAAGGCGACUACCUGGACUGAUACUGACACUGAGGUGCGAAAGCGUGGGGAGCAAACA